rnacentral:rRNA from 1 species
CCUACGGGUGGCAGCAGUGGGGAAUAUUGGACAAUGGGGGCAACCCUGAUCCAGCCAUGCCGCGUGUGUGAAGAAGGCCCUCGGGUUGUAAAGCACUUUCAGUGAGGAAGAACGCCUGGUGGUUAAUACCCAUCAGGAAAGACAUCACUCACAGAAGAAGCACCGGCUAACUCCGUGCCAGCAGCCGCGGUAAUACGGAGGGUGCGAGCGUUAAUCGGAAUUACUGGGCGUAAAGCGCGCGUAGGUGGCUUGAUAAGCCGGUUGUGAAAGCCCCGGGCUCAACCUGGGAACGGCAUCCGGAACUGUCAAGCUAGAGUGCAGGAGAGGAAGGCAGAAUUCCCGGUGUAGCGGUGAAAUGCGUAGAGAUCGGGAGGAAUACCAGUGGCGAAGGCGGCCUUCUGGACUGACACUGACACUGAGGUGCGAAAGCGUGGGUAGCAAACAGGAUUAGAUACCCCGGUAGUC